rnacentral:ncRNA from 1 species
UUUUAUCUAUAUAUUUAAAGUAUGAUUUCUAACUUUAAAUAUUAAAAAUAGUAAUCGAUUAUUACUUAACUUAUAAGUGGCAAGAACUUGGCUCUGAUUUAAAGUAUGGCAAAAACUAGAAAAUACACAUGGUUUUUAUGGAUAUAGGUGAGGUAGAAGGGAUAAGAACUUUAAUUAAAUAUAAAAGUUCAUUUUCUUUUCUAUGAUAUUAUAAUAUAUAAGAUAUCUUGUAAAGUCCCACUAACACCAGUGCUGAAACUUAAUAAAGGAUGUAAAUCUGAAUUAGUUUAGUAAACAAAAUUUGGUUAACCUGGUGCCAGCAUCCGCGGUUACACCAGGAAAUUAAGUCAUAUUUAUCGGUAAAAAGACAGUUAGACAAUAAGAUAAGUCAUGGAAUUUUCAAUAUAGGGGUGCAAUCCGAGCAUUGAUAAAUAAUCUAAUUAUGACUAUUUAGUUGAAUCUGUGAUAGCUUUAAGGGAAACUGGGAUUUGAUACCCCAUUAUUUUUAGCUGUAAAUUCAAUUUUACAUAAUUUACCAGAGUACUACGAACAUAAGGUUUAAAACUCAAAGGGCUUGGCGGUGUUUUAGACCACUCAGGGGAACCUGUCUCAUAAUCGAUGAUCCACGUUAAACCUGACCUUUUUUUGCAUUCAGCUUGUAUACCGUCGUCGUCAGGUAACUUCUAAAAAACUAAAAGUUAGCGAAAGAAUUUAUAAAUUACAAUGUCAGAUCAGGGUGCAGCUUAUAAAAAGGGGAGGAUGGGUUACAAUUAUAAAUCUUAAUUACGGAAGACCAUUAGAAUUAAUUGAUCUGAAGGAGGACUUGAAAGUAAUUUUAAAUAUAUAAAUUAUAUGAAUAAGGCUCUGAAAUGUGCACAUAUCGCCCGUCGCUCUCGUUGAAAAAUGAGAUAAGUCGUAACAUAGUAGGGGUAAUGGAAAUUGUCCCUGGCUG